rnacentral:rRNA from 1 species
GACGAACGCUGGCGGCGUGCUUAACACAUGCAAGUCGAGCGGUAAGGCCCUUUCGGGGGUACACGAGCGGCGAACGGGUGAGUAACACGUGGGUGACCUGCCUUUAGCUCUGGGAUAAGCCUGGGAAACCGGGUCUAAUACCGGAUAUGACUCCGCGGCGCAUGUUGUGGGGUGGAAAGCCUUGUGCGGCUGGAGAUGGGCCCGCGGCCUAUCAGCUUGUUGGUGGGGUGAUGGCCUACCAAGGCGACGACGGGUAGCCGGCCUGAGAGGCGACCGGCCACACUGGGACUGAGACACGGCCCAGACUCCUACGGGAGGCAGCAGUGGGGAAUCUUGCGCAAUGGGCGAAAGCCUGACGCAGCGACGCCGCGUGA